rnacentral:rRNA from 1 species
AUUGAACGCUGGCGGAAUGCUUUACACAUGCAUGUCGAACGGUAGAGGGGGCAACCCCUCGAGAGUGGCGAACGGGUGAGUAAUAUAUCGGAACGUGCCCAGUUGUGGGGGAUAACGUAGUGAAAAUUACGCUAAUACCGCAUACGAUCUAUGGAUGAAAGCGGGGGAUCGCAAGACCUCGCGCGAUUGGAGCGGCCGAUAUCAGAUUAGGUAGUUGGUGGGGUAAAGGCCCACCAAGCCAACGAUCUGUAGCUGGUCUGAGAGGACGACCAGCCACACUGGAACUGAGACACGGUCCAGACUCCUACGGGAGGCAGCAGUGGGGAAUUUUGGACAAUGGGCGAAAGCCUGAUCCAGCCAUUCCGCGUGCAGGAUGAAGGCCCUCGGGUUGUAAACUGCUUUUGUACAGAACGAAAAGGUUUCUACUAAUACUAGGAGCUCAUGACGGUACUGUAAGAAUAAGCACCGGCUAACUACGUGCCAGCCGCCGCCGUAA